rnacentral:tRNA from 1 species
CGGGUGGUGGCGCAGCCCGGUAGCGCACUAGGCUGGGGGUCUAGGGGUCGCAAGUUCGAAUCUUGUCCACCCGA